GAUGAAGAACGUAGCGAAAUGCGAUAAGUAGUGUGAAUUGCAGAAUUUAGUGAAUCAUCGAAUCUUUGAACGCACAUUGCGCCCCUUGGUAUUCCAUGGGGCAUGCCUGUUCGAGCGUCAUUUGUACCUUCAAGCCUUGCUUGGUGUUGGGUGUUUGUCUCGCCUCUGCGCGCAGACUCGCCUCAAAACAAUUGGCAGCCGGCGUAUUGAUUUCGGAGCGCAGUACAUCUCGCGCUUUGCACUCAGAACGACGACGUCCAAAAGUACAUUUUUACACUCUUGACCUCGGAUCAGGUAGGGAUACCCGCUGAACUUAAGCAUAUCAAUAAGCGGAGGA
rnacentral:misc_RNA from 1 species